GUUCCCAUUGUUAAGAAGUCCCACACGAAGAAAUGGUCAAGAAUUUCAGUAAUCUUGAGAAAGGUGAAUUUUCAUUUAAGAUUUUUCAGAGAUCGCAAGGCUAAACUUGUACUCCCUUUCCACGGGACUUGCUUAGAGUCAGUCUGACCUCCUCCCAUGACACUGUGAAUAAGUCUGUGCUCAGAUCAGCAUUUAACAACCUCGCUGUGCUAUUCCACCCUGAACUCUUUACUCUGGGAACCAAUUGCUGCAUUCAUUGGGCAGCGUUUAUUGCCUUAUGGGAACAAAGGAUGCAGAGUCCCUGUAAAGUGCGGAGCACUCUGGAAGUGGCUAUCUCCACAGAGGUAUCAGGUAACACCACUCUUCUCUGUUGAGACUUGACAGGGAAUGAAACAGGUUCACCAUAAGUUACCUACCUCUGAGCAAUUGUUUCUGAAUAGCAUGUAGAAUCCCAAAGACUAUAAACAACAAAGAAGAACCCUCCCGUAGAAAACAAGUUCACCAUAAGUUACCUACCUCUGAGCAAUUGUUUCUGAAUAGCAUGUAGAAUCCCAAAGACUAUAAACAACAAAGAAGAACCCUCCCGUAGAAAACAAGUUCCAAUAUUAAAAGCCCUGUCAUCAGGGAAGCCUCAUAAAACAAAAAGAUCUGUUGCUCUCCUCGAUUCCCCCCCCACACGCACACACACCAAAAGGCAACAAAGCCAGCCAAGCAGCAUUAUUUCAGACAGGUUCUGCUUCUGCAACACUCAAUGCGCUUCACAGCUUUCACUUAACUCAGGCAGAGGAGGCUCAUUAUGCAAUAACUACAUAAAAUUGAGUACAACACUCCAUAUGAAGAAGAAGAAAAAAAUAACUUCAUAUAUGUAUAUCUAUACCCAAGCGCUGAGUUAGAAAGGAGCACGAAAGGAGCGCUUUAAGGAUGCCUUUCUGAGAGCACGAGAGUUCUCCAGCCUUCAACAGUUCAGAGGGCACUGCAUUCGGCAGGAGAUUUAAAAACAAACAAACAAAAAACAGGAAGGGAUUUCUACAG
ensembl:lncRNA